UAGCUAGUUGGUGGGGUAAUGGCUCACCAAGGCGACGAUCCGUAACUGGUCUGAGAGGAUGAUCAGUCACACUGGAACUGAGACACGGUCCAGACUCCUACGGGAGGCAGCAGUGGGGAAUAUUGGACAAUGGGCGAAAGCCUGAUCCAGCCAUGCCGCGUGUGUGAAGAAGGUCUUCGGAUUGUAAAGCACUUUAAGUUGGGAGGAAGGGCAGUAAGUUAAUACCUUGCUGUUUUGACGUUACCGACAGAAUAAGCACCGGCUAACUCUGUGCCAGCAGCCGCGGUAAUACAGAGGGUGCAAGCGUUAAUCGGAAUUACUGGGCGUAAAGCGCGCGUAGGUGGUUUGUUAAGUUGGAUGUGAAAUCCCCGGGCUCAACCUGGGAACUGCAUCCAAAACUGGCAAGCUAGAGUACGGUAGAGGGUGGUGGAAUUUCCUGUGUAGCGGUGAAAUGCGUAGAUAUAGGAAGGAACACCAGUGGCGAAGGCGACCACCUGGACUGAUAC
rnacentral:rRNA from 1 species